AACUUUUAACAAUGGAUCUCUUGGUUCUCGCAUCGAUGAAGAACGUAGCAAAGUGCGAUAACUAGUGUGAAUUGCAUAUUCGUGAAUCAUCGAGUCUUUGAACGCAGCUU
rnacentral:rRNA from 5 species